rnacentral:tRNA from 1 species
GCCGAAGUGGCGGAAUUGGCAGACGCGCAGCGUUGAGGGCGCUGUGGGCAAUUUGCCUGUGCGGGUUCGAAUCCCACCUUCGGCACCA